rnacentral:rRNA from 1 species
CAGUAGCCGCGGUAAUACGUAGGGUGCAAGCGUUAAUCGGAAUUACUGGGCGUAAAGCGUGCGCAGGCGGUUUGUUAAGACAGAUGUGAAAUCCCCGGGCUCAACCUGGGAACUGCAUUUGUGACUGGCAAGCUAGAGUGUGGCAGAGGGGGGUGGAAUUCCGCGCGUAGCAGUGAAAUGCGUAGAUAUGCGGAGGAACACCGAUGGCGAAGGCAGCCCCCUGGGCCAACACUGACGCUCAUGCACGAAAGCGUGGGGAGCAAACAGGAUUAGAUACCCCAGUAGUCCCUGUCUCUUAUAC